CAACGCCGCGUGGGGGAUGAAGGCUCUCGGGUUGUAAACCCUUUUGCGAGGGAAGAAGAUCUGACGGUACCUCGCGAAUAAGCCACGGCUAACUACGUGC
rnacentral:rRNA from 1 species